ACCCGAGUGAGCGGAGUUAACCAUUACUGCCGUUUCAGUGGGAAAAGCACUGCUGCCGAGCAACGCCAUACAAUUAAACAAGCACACCUAAGUUCCUCAACUGUAACUCCACAGGAUAGAGAAAAUGAUAACAACCAUUGUGUAUAUUGUCUGCCAAUCAUUUCCUUUGAAGGCAACCAUUCAUCUAAUCUGCAAGAUGCCAGGGAGAGACUCUUUUAAACAGAGCCACCAUCUGAAGGAGCAAAGACGUUACUGCAAGUUGAACCAUCCUUGGGCGAGACGUUCAGCCACAAAUUGCACUCGAAUCCGCUGCAGACCCGCACGUUGUGUGAUUGAUUACUGCCAUUUGUGUAAUCAUUUAUAAUUAACUAUCAUAUAAAGACGAUCACAAAAAAGAACCAUUAGCCUCAUGUUCAUGAAUCUGCAACUACUCUGGAAGUAGAGAGACUAGUAGGCUAACACCUGAAGAC